AUUUGUAAAAGUUGUUUCCCUUUUAUCAAAAAACAUAACUUCCGGGUGUGAAACUUAAGCAAGAUUUAGCUGCUGGUUACGAUUUAUUGACAGAUUUUGGUCCAUAUUUUAAUUCUGUUUUACCAAUGGAGCCUAACAAAAGACUGAUACAAGAGCAGAGGGUGCUGGAACAGGAACUGAAAUCUCUCCCUAAAACAGCGAAAGUGUAUAAGCAGCAACAGAAUAGUCAAAUUUUCUUCAGAACAAGUAAAGACAAGGCUUUCGAGGAAUGUAAAAGAACACUAGAUAGCUUGGUACAAGAAUAUAAAGAUGUUGAAACACCUCCAGACAUAGAACAAAAAUAGCGUGAACAGUGUUCAUUUUAAAAUCAUAUCAUGUGUUUGAAUCAUUCAAGAGUAUAUGAUCAACGCAUGAUGCCUGAUCUCAUGUGAUGAAAACAAAGGAGAAACUGAUGAAAACUGACAUUCAGUAGUUCCAUGAGAGUGAAUGUUAUUGCUAUAAUCGACAACGAGACUGUAAAGAGUGCUAUUUUAGUAUUAGACGGAAACUGGUGAAACACUUCUGAAUGGCUUUGUGUUCUUGAUGCUGAUUUUCUGCAGCUUUCAUAAGAUACUAAUGACUGUGCAAAUAUUAAAGCAAAAUUCCAUUGUUUAUAGUAAUCGCUCAUCUCCUGUUUAUAUAUAUAGUUUUGUUAAAUACACUUACAAGUUUUU